UUAGGCUAUUUGAAGCCAAUGAAAAGGAUGGCUGUAUUUUUCUUUUCAAACACCGAGAGACCCUGAAUAUGUUCUCUGGCUUCCUCAGGAGAGACAGGAGAGAGAAAUUGCUAUCAAGGACAUCUUACUACAGAAGACAUUAAACACCUGAGGAAGAUUGGCCCUGAGCAAACAUCUGUAGCCUAUCUUUCUCUCUUCUUUUUUUCCUCCCCAAAGCUCCAGUACCUAGUUGUAUAGCCUAGUUGUAGAUCAUUCUAGCUCUUUUAUGUGGGAUGUGGCCACAGCAUGGCCUGAUCAGCAG
rnacentral:lncRNA from 1 species